rnacentral:rRNA from 1 species
CGUGUAGGCGGCGAUCUAAGUCGGGUGUGAAAUCCCUCGGCCCAACCGGGGAAUGGCAUUCGAUACUGGAUUGCUUGAGUGCGGUAGGGGCAAGUGGAACUCCAGGUGUAGCGGUGAAAUGCGUAGAUAUCUGGAGGAACGCCGGUGGCGAAAGCGACUUGCUGGACCGCAACUGACGCUGAGGCGCGAAAGCUAGGGGAGCAAACG